AUGGCUUGGACUCCUCUCAGCUUCAUGAUUCUAUCUUACUGUGCAGGUUCCUUUUCUCAGUCUAUACUGACACAACUGCCCUCCAUCCCUGAGGCUCUUAGACCAACAGCCCGACUCACCUGUACUCUGAAGAGUGGCAUCAGUGUUGCUGGUAACAAACAUUUACUGGACCAGCAGGUGCAGGGAACUCUCCUCGGUUUUUCCUGCACUACUACUCAGACUCAAACAUGCAGCUGGGGCCUGGAGUCACCAAUAGAGUCUCUGGAUCCAAAGAUGCCUCCCAAAAUGCUGCAGAUUUGCACAUCUCUGAGCAACAAUCAGAGGAUGAGGCUGACUAUUACUGCUCCAUCUGGGAAAAUAGUGUGUCUCACAGUGAUACAGGCAGAUGGGGAAUACAGUUGACAACAAACGAUGGUGAAGAUGAAGGGGAGGAGAAUCUUCAUCCAGUGUUGGUGAGCUUGCAAAGUGUAGCAGACACUCUGGAAAUCAGUGUGGAGAAUUCUCUAAAGGUCUUAGAUGAGAAAUACUAUAUGACUGAGAUGUAUGACUCCUUAGCAUAUGCUGAAAACACGUGA